GUGGGGAAUAUUGGACAAUGGGCGCAAGCCUGAUCCAGCCAUGCCGCGUGUGUGAAGAAGGCCUUUUGGUUGUAAAGCACUUUAAGCGAGGAGGAGGCUCCUUUAGUUAAUACCUAAAGAGAGUGGACGUUACUCGCAGAAUAAGCACCGGCUAACUCUGUGCCAGCAGCCGCGGUAAUACAGAGGGUGCGAGCGUUAAUCGGAUUUACUGGGCGUAAAGCGUGCGUAGGCGGCUUUUUAAGUCGGAUGUGAAAUCCCUGAGCUUAACUUAGGAAUUGCAUUCGAUACUGGAAAGCUAGAGUAUGGGAGAGGAUGGUAGAAUUCCAGGUGUAGCGGUGAAAUGCGUAGAGAUCUGGAGGAAUACCGAUGGCGAAGGCAGCCAUCUGGCCUAAUACUGACGCUGAGGUACGAAAGCAUGGGGAGCAAACAGGAUUAGAUACCCGAGUAGUCC
rnacentral:rRNA from 1 species